rnacentral:rRNA from 1 species
AGCGAACGCUGGCGGCAGGCUUAACACAUGCAAGUCGAGCGGGCAUCCUUGUGGUGUCAGCGGCAGACGGGUGAGUAACGCGUGGGAACGUGCCCUUCGGUUCGGAAUAACUCAGGGAAACUUGAGCUAAUACCGGAUACGUGCGAGAGCAGAAAGGUUUAUCUGCCGAAGGAUCGGCCCGCGUCUGAUUAGCUAGUUGGUGAGGUUAUGGCUCACCAAGGCGACGAUCAGUAGCUGGUCUGAGAGGAUGAUCAGCCACACUGGGACUGAGACACGGCCCAGACUCCUCCGGGAGGCAGCAGUGGGGAAUAUUGGACAAUGGGGGCAACCCUGAUCCAGCCAUGCCGCGUGAGUGAUGACGGCCUUAGGGUUGUAAAGCUCUUUUCUCCGGGACGAUAAUGACGGUACCGGAGGAAUAAGCCCCGGCUAACUUCGUGC